AUCCACCAGAAGCAUCUACCGCCGAUAUCAGGAUCUACGACCAUAUCGGUACAAGGCCACCCCAAGUCCUCUCCACCCGCAUUCCAUCGCACAGAAACGGAAUUUCCUUGGGGGUCGCGGGAGAAAAUGAACAAUGAGCGAAGCAAGAGGAACGUCAACCGGCAAUUAAAGUGAGUCGCGAUUUACCCGCCAGGAGAUCGAAUCUGGUUCUGCUCCUCUCGCUGUCCUCGUAGCCCUCGAGGUCGUCCUCGUAAUCGUCGUAAUCCUCGGGGACGGGGCGCCGGUCCCCGUCCUUGUCGCUGGAGUUUCGCGAGAGAUUGUUGCCGAGCGGACCCCUCUGGGCGGCCUGUCGCACGCGGGCCUGAUGAUCAUUACUAAAGAAGACCGACGGCGGCGGCGGCGUCGACAGCUGAGAGCCCUGAAGGCGACGCUGAAGAUACCGGGCCAAGAGCGCCUGUACCGCGUCUCUCUCCGCCGUGCCUGGAAGACAGAAAGAGAGACUCGCUCUCGUGAUCAGUCGACUACAUCCUCCCGAUCUUAUCGUAUCCCGCUCGGUCCUCGUAUCCGCAUUCUUAUAAUCUCAUCCUCGCCCUCGUCUCGUCUCGCUCUCUCGCCGUCUAUUUCUCUUCUCUUGCGAUUUUAUUUACUUAUUUUUUUAUCAUGAAUUUCUUUUUUCUUUUUCUUUCUCUUUGUCUCUCUCUCUCCUUCUCUGCGGAAAGAGCUCGAGGAUCAUCGGCGAUCGAGGAAUUCUUCUUCUUGCGUCAUGUGCAAAAUGCAUCGCGUACGUAUCCUCGUACAAGCGUAAGGAUAUGAGCGAUCUACGCCCCGAUGAGAAGCGGGUUGGGCAGUGGGUGUGAUCCCUCGUAUCCGUGUCAGAGUGGCAGAGAGAUCGAUAGCAGAUUGACGUGGGUCUUUUCGUUAGUUCCGGGAGGAACGAUCGCAUCCGGGAUGAUCUCGGAUAUCCACAAUUGGCGUAGAAUAAAAAUCGCUCUGGAUCUCGCGGGAGAAGUUUAUUCUAAGAGUCGCAAAAAUUGUCAAAAGUCAACGCCGCUGAAUCUCAAAUCCUAAAUUUCAUUGUAGAAAAUAAGAGCAAUGACGUCAGGAAUUCUUAGUCACUGAAUGAAACAAGAUUCGUCGAUAAUUUGCGUAAAAAUGUACGUGCGAACGUAACCACGUUCACGUAACAAUGAUUUGAAAUGUAAGAUACACAAGAGGAGAUAUUCAAAAUGACAUGUAGAGAGAUGAAAGCUGCGUUUGCCUUCAAUUUCAACGUAUAUCGGUGAAUGCAAACUCGGGCGGGCACGCUGAUAAUAUGGAAACAACAUACGGCGGAAUACUCGAGUCCAGCAGGACACUUGAUUAGAGUGGACCUGCCUGCAUUUGAUGUUGAAGAGCGCUUGCGAAUCAUCGUUCAGCAUCAAUGUGUGUGUGAUUCCUGGCUGCAUCGACGAGAUGGAAGGAUUCACAACUACUUGAUGUCGCAUUGCGUAAGACAUACUCAACAUGCAAGCGUCAUCGAUCGUGCAUAGAAACGAAACGAGUUUAACUUCGUUAGCUUUUUAAUUAAGUAAAUCGUUCCUGCAAGUUUGCGACGUGUCUUUUGAGAAUUUUAAAUCAAUACGAUGAACAUUUUAUGUCAAGACUCGUUCAGCUCAUCAUUUUCCUUUGAGAAAAAGUUUUUAGAGUUUGGAAUAUACAUGUGCUUCUAGUAUAAAUAUUAUACGGAGAUGUUUUAUAUUUGUAUUAAAUAUUAUACGAGGAAUAAAUGAUAUUUGAUAAUUUAAGAUUUGUUUCAGAAUAUAAAAACCGGUUAUGCAAGUUAAAAUUAUAAGAUGAUUUUAAGUAUUAAAGAAGAUUUAAUUAUUAUAUAUAUUCUAGCAGCUUUUAAAUUAAAGUUAGAAAUUACUGCAUAUUACGCACAUAUUAUGAAGACCAGCAAGUUACUAAAUAAAUUCCCAUAUGCCAAGUAAAUUCUGCCAAAAGAGUUAAAGAUAAACGUAGGAACGAAUGAUUAACGGCGCGGUAGACUGGACAAAGUCGCGGGAGUAGUUGAGGAUUUGUGGCAGCGAGAAAUCCAAUUUUCGGCAAAGUCCAGAACCGAGAACGAGCACAAUUAUAUCGAUCUCUUCCUGCAAACUCGUUCGCUAGCGUGGCCGUCACGUAAUUGCAGUGGAUUAAUCCUAUCGCGCGGAUUUCAUCGAUUCCUCCCAUGCUUUUUUACCACAAUCCUUCUUGCUGGGCGGAGACAGCCAUCAGAUUGUUAUUCUGGACAGCGGCUUCGUGUAAUUAAAUUGCACAGGCGAGCGCUGAUCCUAUUAUGAAAAAGCACCUAAGCAAAACGGCGUGAAACGAGCAACGCGCGCGCUCUGUUUUCUCGUUAUAUUUCGCGCGCGAGCUGGGAAAUGCACGCUCGGCUUGAUCGCAAAGGAUCAACCUUCCGACACAGAGUUGAUGCCCUGGUAAGGAUUUUCAGAAGAGAGAGACAGAAGCGAGAGAGAAAGAGUGAGAGAGAGAACUACUGCCGGGAUCUUUUUGCUUCGCGGAUCUUGUUAGCCUUGCUUUAGCGCGCAAGCUAAUUCGACGAGCAUGCUUUAAAAACAUUGAUCAUUUAUUUUCGUAUAUGCAUGCUACUGAUAUUUAUAUUUAUCGAGCAAUUAAUAAUAUUAUUUUUUAAUCUGAGAGUAUGUAAUAUUCAAUCCGAAAUGACGGAAAUUUGACGGAAUAUUGCAAUGAAUGAUCUGCAUUGAUGCGAAACGCAUCGUAUAUUUUUAUUUGAAAGUCGUAUGAUUUUAUGUGAAAUGAAUUGCGAUGUUAAUUUAAAUGGUAUUGAUAGAUUAUAUAGAAAGAGCUGUUAAAAAUACUGAUCGAGUGCUUGGAAAAAGCGUUUGAAAAACAUCGAACACAACCAAACACAUACGAUAAUAACGUAUCGUCCCGAAUUUUCCGUAUUCAGUUUGAUGUAAAAACCAAACAUGCGAUCAAAGCUAAUAUUUGGCGCGUGUAACGACAAUUAGGAAAAUUCUCGUACGUGUUUCCGCAAGACAACACAUAACGCGUUGUUCGAUAUCGGAAAAAUAAUAGAAUGUCACGUUUCAAAAUGUUCCUGCCGCUAUCGUUUCCAUUUAUUUUCAACGGAAAAAGGUCUGCAAGUAAUCGUGCCUACGGUCUAAAAAAUAUUUUGCCAAAUAAAUUUUGUUCUUUAUUGCAGAGAAGUUAUUUCGCGAAGCUAUUGGAUCUUUAUGAUGCAGCCAACUACGCGUCCGAAAAAUCAAUCAUCGAAAUUGCGAAAAUGAUUGAAAUCUCGUAAAUCGUAGUUUCUCAACAACGAAUCCGAUCGAGAGGUUGGAGCAAGUGAAUCGUGAAAUAGAACUGAAAGGCGUAAAGAGCGUCAUCGGGCGAUUGGUUGCGCGGGAUAGAUGCUCUCACGGGAGAAAAAUUCUUCGCGCAUUUGUAAGAAAAAGCACGAGAAAGAUCGCGGAAAAGCGCGGGUCAUGCCACGCAAUAAAUCGGGAGGAUUUCCUCGCGGAUGCAACGCGAGAUUCGCUCUAAGAAGAACUUAGCGGUCUCCUCGAGCGAAGAUGCAAAUCCGCGAAAAACCACCAUUGGCGUACGGAUUUCUUCGUGAACCGGAAUCCAAAAUGUCCUCUCAGACACAGAACAGAUUUCAUGCGGAACCGCAGAGGAUAGGUAUCAAAGAAUUCGCAAAGGAGACGAUCGAACGAGAAAUUUUGGCCGGUUUGUAAGAAACAAGCAAAACAUUUCCAAGAGAAGGUGCAUCUUCUCAUCUUAUUUAAAGGAAUUUAUUUCGGACAAGAAUAAAGCGACACGAAGUGCGCGUUGCCAGGAAAUGCGAAAUAUUUUCUUCGGAAGAAAAUUAUCUCAGCUGAGUACCCGCAGCGUCGCCAAAGACCCGCUCAGAAAGAAAAAUUCAGGAUAUUCCCCCGAACCGAAGUACAAAGAAAGCAAAAGAAUUUGGGAAUUGUCUAGCCAAGUUUGACAGAUUAGAUAAGGUUGGACGGUAACGUUGCAUGAUUCGGUUAUUGGAUUCCUUUCAAAAAAGUAAAUGUACGUAAGUGAGUGAUUAUAUUUGGAAUUUAUUUCUCUUAAGAGUUUCUUUAAUACAUUUUUAUAUAAAUUUUUGUCAUAUAAGAAUAUUACAUGUUUAAAGCAUAUUAAUAUAUAACGAUUCUUUAGCAAGCAUGAAGAAAAUAUGUUUCUAUUACAUUAAUCAGAUUUUAUAUUAAUCAACAAAUAAUUCGUCUCGAUAAUUAUAGUUCUGCUUCUUGUUGUGCAUACAUUUAAUUAACAAAUUAUAUUAAAAAUUUGUAUCAUUGACAGUUAUAAUAAUUCCCUUUUCUCAUCAAAAUGGAUAUUAAUCUUUGUCAGAGACUCAAUGAAAUCUCUAGAAAUCAACUCCAAAGGAAUCAACAUGUCAAAAUUCAAGAUCAAAUGCACGGAAACGCAAUCGAGAAAAGAUUACAAAGUCCGAGUGGAAGUCUUUCUAAAAUUGCUGGACAGUGAAUCUAGCAGGAACUCGCGCGCGUCUAGGAACUCCUACGAUCAGAAUCCCAAUUCGGCCGGAAAAUUCGACGGAAAACGUUCCGCUUUCCAAGGUCAGUAUUCCGCUCGAGCGAAUUGUCGACUCGUCGUCAUCAUCUUUCUCUCUCUUCCUUUCUCUCUCUCUCUCUUUCUUGAUAUCUCGAUGUCCGAAGAAAUCGUUACGGCCGACAGCCGGAGAAACGCGAGUGUCACUAGAAGUGAUUUAAGCUUUACACUACCGAGAGCUCGAGAGAGAGAGAAGCCACGCGUUAAAAUGGAAUGCAGGCUAUAAUAUCCGGCGCGCCCGAACUGAUUUGCAAGUUUCACGUCCGUCGUCCAGGUCCAGGCCGUCGUGGCGCGCACAGAAACCUCAGGCUCCUUCUGCAAUUCAUCUUGUCCCAGCUUCAUAAUUCAAUGACUUUCGGAAGUACGUUUCCUCCGAAUUAUUUCCUCGAUGGGCCACCUGAAUGUUUUAUGUGAUUUUAAGACAGCCGCGCUACCGUAACUGGCGAUAGCACGCGAUGCGCUUUUACCGUAAUUGGAUCUAAAUUCUGGAACAGAUGAGCGGAGUCUAAUAAAAGCUCCGCCGCUCGAGCACGAGCUAUUAUUGUGUCGGAAUCAAUGUUAUCCUAUUAUAGCGAGUUAUAAGGAUGGUAUUGAAGAACGCCAGCGAUACGAAAUAAUUUACCGCGCGCGACGAUAACACCACUGCAACGAUAUGAAAAGGAAGACGAACAAAAUAGAAAGAUAUUCGUAGAUAGAAAAUUAUAAAUACGAGUUGAAAAUAUUUAAUAUUUCGCAGUAAAUAGUAAAAUUACCCAAUAAUAUUGUCCACAAACAACAUACACACACAUAUGUGGAAUGGAGACAUGUAUUAUAAGCGUAAAUAAAAUAUAGAGAUACAUAUGUAAAAUUUGAAAUAAUUUAUUUUAAAUUAAAUGUAGCAUUUGCAUAUCCGUUGUCACUAAUUUCUUUUUCUAUAUGACAUAGUUCAAUAAAGAUGGAACGUGUGCGCUUUGCUUUAAAUUUGCUUGGAUGGCAACUGGAAAAAGCAGCACGGGCGGUUCGUACUGCUUGACUUGCAAAGAGGAAAAUCAAGCCGUUCGAUUACCUGUUCCAACGAGGCGCAUUCAUAUGAAUUUCGUUUCAAUCGUCAAUGUGGACUUCAACUCUAUCGAGUACGAAAUCUCUCGCCUUAAAAUAUCGUAAAUUUUACGGGAGAGAUAUGGACCAAGCGAUAGAGAUGUUCGUAACGUGCACAUAUUUAAUAUCCUAUUACAUACACGUUACGAUAAUUAAUAUGCACGUAAGUAUCUGCAUAAUCUACAGAACAAAGUCUAUAUCUGGUGAUACACUUAUUGUGAAAAUAUUGAAAUGAAAAUAAAACAUCAUGCUCAAUUUCACAAUUUACUCUUCAACCGGAGUUUAACUCGUUAAUGAAGAAUUCAUACUUCGUCCGAUGUCCGAUGUAUGACGUUCAAUAAGAGAGUUCGUUUUCUAGAGAUUCUACACGUGACGUAUUGUGAAUUCUCCAUUAACGAGGUAAACUCCGGUUAAAGUAAGUUGUGGAACUGGGCCUAAAAAAAAAUGCACACAGAUAUUUCUUUAUUACAAUCGAUGAUACCGAUACUCUACACCUUUGUGCAAAAUGGUGCAGGUGCUCGUCAAAGAAGACGCGGCGUUUUCGCGGAUUUCCUCCAAUGAUAUGGAUGCGAUGCGAUGGAUUCAAAUGCAAUCGCUGAGACCGGCUGAAACGGGCCAUUUGCUUUGAAAAUGAGCGGAGGAGUCGACAAACGCUGAUGGCAAUGUUUGGAUGUGUACUUUUGGGAGGUUUUCCCCGCGAGAAAAGCACAGUGUUUCGAGAUUUAUACGGCGUAAAUAGCGAAAGAUCCUGUGUAAACGCUGGCGUUUCGUAUAUACGUGAGUUCCUGUACGUGACAAGUGCCUUAAGUAAUGGUAAACAGUGGCGGCGCAUCGUACACGGGAGUUCGGCUUCGAGGCACGUUCUCACCGUCAAUACAGCGACGCUGCUCAUAAAUGUCUUUCUAAAUCUUCCGCGCGAAAGAACCGGGAAGCUAAUCCUCCCGUGUUGGCCGGGAUGUAGUGCAAUGUAACGAGAUACAACGGGAGAGUUACGUGGCAAUUAAGUCUCGCGCAUUGACUCGAAAGCUAUCUAAAUACAUGUAACACAUUUGAGCCCUUUAUCAUGCAUAAUCCUCUGUUUAUAAUAUUUCAUCCUGAAAAACAUUCAAUUAAUUAUUUAUUACAUAAAUGUAGAAGAGCUAAAAGUGUAAAAUGAGAAGCGUAAGAAGGAUUUAAGGAUUUGUCCUUUUGUUUCAAAGAUUUAUUUAAGCAAAGGAGGCAGAGAAAGAUGUCCUCGCUUUUCUUCAAAAAUUCUUUUAGCGAAUGUUACUUUUAGUUAUGCUCGUUGUAAUGUUUGGCGAAGAAGAUUGCGCAUCACGGGUCCUCUACCGUAAAGACCGGUGUAAGCAUAACUGCUAAAACGGAAAGUCCGCCAAUAUAUCAGCGCGAUGGUGCUUCCGAGAGAAAGUGUCUGUCUGCCGCUAGUGCGACCAUUCUUCUGAUAUACCGCCCCCAUUUCGCAGUUUGACGGGAAAGAAGCGGUAGAGUGGCUCGAAUGCGACUGACAAUAAUUUGUCAACUCGGCCACUCACGACUUCUUACGUCGUUCCUUUGGACAAAGAGAAUUCCGUCGGAAGAGCGGAGAUUUCCCGUCUGAAUUUCUUGCCGGUCGCGUUUCCACGCGACGACACGAGAUUUCAUAAUUGCGCGAGUGCAUUACAGGAGUGUCCCAGGCUUCCUGAAAUUGCACGAUACUCCGAGAACUCGGCGAAAAAUCCAGGCGAGAUGCAUCGAGAGCCUUCAUGAGCUAUUUCGGCGCAAAGUGCAUUUGGCAAAGAGCAAUAAUCGGGAUGGCCGUUCGCUUGUAUUAUCGUAAAUUUAUUGAACGUGCGUUUUUAUUGUCAUUAUUUUUUAUUUGUGCAUUAAAUCUUCUAACUUUAUUGCAGCGCUUUCUUUAUGCUUCUACAGAAAAGAAAAUUUAAAAUUGUAUGUCUUGCGUUAAUAAAAUUGAACGAAAACUUUUUGAAGAAAGCAUUUAGAGAUCGAUUUUAUAAUUUUUGAAUUUCUUCUUACUGCUUUGCACUAUUAUACAUUAAUCCAAAUCGCAUAAUUUCGAUUUCUUUUAUAACACUUUAUCAAGAGUGAGAGGGGGAAAGAGAGAGGGGAGGGGGAGAGAGAGAGAGAGAGAGAGAGAGAGUAACUGACAUUUGUAUAAAGAUAAAAAUUAUAUUAUAGAUGGUUCUAUUAAAUUGAUUGCCUUGCGCUGGAUACCUUCUCGAGACUCGAUAUUGUUACGUAAUGCGGCUUUCGAUAGACGCAACCAUUCGAACACGAACGAAUAGCGUUUCCUAAUUGGCAGCUUUUUUUCCGCAGUAAUUGGGAGCUGUCGGGGAGCUUCUCCGCGAAGAGACCUCGAAUGGGAAAGAUGUGAAUUGGAAGAUAGAGAGAGAACCAUCGGCAAUAAAAUGGAAAAUAUUUUUGCGAGAAAUGGAAUCAGCAGACUGAACCAUAUGAAACAUACAUAUGUUAUAAAUUAUUCUUGUGACGCGUAAUAAUUUAAAUCAUGUCUGACAGAUCAACUCACGUAUCAUUGAAAAAGUUUUUUUAAAAAUCCAAUCAUCGACAUUUCAUUUUUGCGGAUUAAGGUAUACUUUGACGUAUGCUGAUUUCAUUACUGUGUACGAAAUAUUGGUUACUACCUUUAAACAAGUGGCAUUUAUAAUAAUUAUGAUAAAUCAAUGUAUAAUAAAUAAACGUAAUUGUGUCGCGUUUAUUUUUGUAAAUAAUUCUCAUUUGUUGUAACGCAGGAAAUAUUUUUUCUAUUCGUAUAAAUAAAUCUCUCGGUUGCACGUUUGAAUGUACACGAUCGAAUAAAACAUGCAUCACCCGACGACGUUUCAUGAUUUCAGAAAUAUCCGUGUCCAUAAAACCCCCAUGAAACAUUAAUGGUGAUCGUGGCGUCCGCCGAGCGAUUUAUUCAUGCGAGACGUCGAUGUGCACCGAGCACAUCAAAUGUUUAGUCUCCAAUAAAAAUUCAAUUUUCAAUCUUCUAACGCGUUGCCUUAGCUAUGCGGCAGAGAAGCGGCAGUCCAACGGUCGCCAAAGUUUGCAACCCCGCGGCAAAUUACACCACCGUUCGCAGUGUAAAUGUUUGAACUACUGCGGCUGCUGCUGCGCCACGCAUAUGCGCUCCAUGCGAUGUAAGACAUUGUUCUAAUGGUCUCGAAAUUUGAACAGAAAGUUACGACAGUCUCGCAGAGAUCCCUUGAAAGCUACGCGAGAUAAAGCUCGUGUCGCCGGAAGCGCCGUGCGAUUAUCGACAGUCCCUUGAAUGCUUAUAAUUAUUACACGGUUCAGCAUCGCAUUAUAGCAUCGCUCAAGUGAAGUGGCAUAAUUAAGAAAAGAGUGAUAUGACAUUUAUGCAAGCUUUUUACAUUUAUAUUUAAAGCUAUUGAACGAGUAAACCGUCGGCAGUUUGUUUACGUUCAUUUUCUAUUCUCUUUAAGGUUCAACUCGAGACAUGCGUGAGCGUCAUUGAAUUAAUUUUUUAUUAUAAGAGAUGUCUAUGUACAGCACAGUAAACUAGCGAUAAAGCAUUAAAGAAUUGCUGGCAAUUACUUAUUUACAGAAAAUUUACGGCUGUAUUUGCCGUGCAUCAAUCUGCUCUCUAAUUAAUUAACGUAACAUGACGUGGAGCUCAUCAAUAUGGCACAAUAGAGAAACGACGAAAGUAGUGUCGAACAUUUGGACAAAGUUACGAAAGUUCGCUUAGAACUUUGCGAAGAGAUGAGCAUCACGGGCAACUUUGUGGCUCCAAAUUACCUAAAAUACGAAGUACUUCCCGAGACUGUGUAGCUUCCUGUAUAAUCUACGUCAUUCAUGUAAUGUAGCGUCACAUUAUGCGCGAAAUACGUUAUACUAUGUAGGAUGCAACUGUUACCGUCACGGAGUACUUCAAAGGACCGCUUGCCAGUACCAUCUGAUUGCAAUUUAAACGUUAUUACGCUACGGUGCAAGAUACGUACACAUAUUCAAAGCUUUUAAUAGUUUUUAAAAUUCUAUAUCUGAUUCUUAUCUGAAUAAACUCUAAAAUUUUCGCACGAUCGUGUCAUAUAUCAUUUUCGAAAUAAAUCAUUGUAUGUUUGAUUUAAAUAUUAUCUAUCGGUAUUUCAAGUAUCGUUUAAAUAUCUUCACAUUCUAAUUUUAUACCUUGAAUUAUGGUCCAUUAGUAGUAUAAAAUAAUUGUCCACGAUUUUGCCAAAUGAUAUUUUAGAAAUAAAUCAGUGUAUAUUGGACGUAA